rnacentral:rRNA from 1 species
GAUGAACGCUGGCGGCGUGCCUAAUACAUGCAAGUAGAACGCUGAAGGAGGAGCUUGCUCUUCUGGAUGAGUUGCGAACGGGUGAGUAACGCGUAGGUAACCUGCCUGGUAGCGGGGGAUAACUAUUGGAAACGAUAGCUAAUACCGCAUGACAACAGUUAUUGCAUGAUAACUGUUUAAAAGGGGCAACUGCUCCACUACCAGAUGGACCUGCGUUGUAUUAGCUAGUUGGUGAGGUAACGGCUCACCAAGGCGACGAUACAUAGCCGACCUGGGAGGGGGAUCGGCCACACUGGGACUGAGACACGGCCCAGACUCCUACGGGAGGCAGCAGUAGGGAAUCUUCGGCAAUGGACGGAAGUCUGACCGAGCAACGCCGCGGGAGUGAAGAAGGGUUUCGGAUCGUAAAGCUCUGUUGUAAGAGAAGAACGAGUGUGAGAGUGGAAAGUUCACACUGUGACGGUAUCUUACCAGAAAGAGACGGCUAACUACGUG